CUGCUGCCUCCCGUAGGAGUCUGGGCCGUGUCUCAGUCCCAAUGUGGCCGGCCAACCUCCCAGUCCGGCUACUGAUCGUCGCCUUGGUGGGCCGUUGCCCCACCAACUAGCUAAUCAGACGCGAGUCCAUCUCAGAGCGAUAAAUCUUUGAUAUCCAGAGCCAUGCGACCCAGAUAUAUUAUGCGGUAUUAGCAGCUGUUUCCAGCUGUUAUUCCCCACUCCAAGGCAGGUUACUCACG
rnacentral:rRNA from 1 species